GGAAAAACAAAUCAAUGGGACAGAAAGUGAGUUGAACGUAAAGGGGCUAAACGUUGCUGGGCAGAGCCAUGUACAGAGUGGGCGGAGUCAAUUAAAUAAGUCAAUUGGAAAGAAAGUACUCCAGUCCUUUGAGAAAUUUUUCUUAGAAGCACUUGAAUCAGUCUAUUCUUCCAAAGCUGUAGCCUGAAAUUUUUCUUGGACUAAUCUUCUUGUAAGAAAUAAUUUUAGAUUUUAGCAUCAAAUUUGAUUUUUCCUAUCAAUAGUUCCAUUUUCGCAAUUUUUUUAGUCUGCCUAUUUUAAUGCAUUAUCACUGUGAAAUAAGACCCCUUUUCCACAAGAAGACCACCACUAGUGUGCUGCAUCACUUUGUGAUCCCUCAUGAUAUCUGCAUCAGAGCACACAUGCACAGAUAUUUGCCUCCUUACAAUAUUUGCACAAGCACAAGAACAUAUGAAAAGACACACAUCCAGCAAAAGUGACUAAUAAUUUAUGCCUCCAAUAUGGCUUUAGCUUCAUUAUCAAACGCU
rnacentral:misc_RNA from 1 species